rnacentral:rRNA from 1 species
CCCCUAGACGUUCUGGGCUGCACGCGCGCUACAAUAAUACGCCCAGCGAGUAUCACCGAGCUCGAAAGGGCAAGGUAAACAAUAGAAAAGGUACUGUAAUGGUUAUAGAUCCUUGUAAUUAUUGAUCUUCAACGAGGAAUUCCUAGUAAGUAUGUGUCAUCAUCACGCACUGAUUACGUCCCUGCCCUUUGUACACACCGCCCGUCGCUCCUACCGAUUGAGUGAGCCGAUGAAACUGCCGGAUGUGGACUAUUCAUAGUCUGCAGAAGAUAUUUGAAUCGUAGCGCUUAGAGGAAGGAGAAGUCGUAACA